GACGAACGCUGGCGGCGUGCUUAACACAUGCAAGUCGAACGGAAAGGCCCUGCUUUUGUGGGGUGCUCGAGUGGCGAACGGGUGAGUAACACGUGAGUAACCUGCCCUUGACUUUGGGAUAACUUCAGGAAACUGGGGCUAAUACCGGAUAGGAGCUCCUGCUGCAUGGUGGGGGUUGGAAAGUUUCGGCGGUUGGGGAUGGACUCGCGGCUUAUCAGCUUGUUGGUGGGGUAGUGGCUUACCAAGGCUUUGACGGGUAGCCGGCCUGAGAGGAUGACCGGCCACAUUGGGACUGAGAUACGGCCCAGACUCCUACGGGAGGCAGCAGUGGGGAAUAUUGCACAAUGGGCGGAAGCCUGAUGCAGCAACGCCGCGUGCGGGAUGACGGCCUUCGGGUUGUAAACCGCUUUCGCCUGUGACGAAGCGUGAGUGACGGUAAUGGGUAAAGAAGCACCGGCUAACUACGUGCCAGCAGCCGCGGUGAUACGUAGGGUGCGAGCGUUGUCCGGAUUUAUUGGGCGUAAAGGGCUCGUAGGUGGUUGAUCGCGUCGGAAGUGUAAUCUUGGGACUUAACCCUGAGCGUGCUUUCGAUACGGGUUGACUUGAGGAAGGUAGGGGAGAAUGGAAUUCCUGGUGGAGCGGUGGAAUGCGCAGAUAUCAGGAGGAACACCAGUGGCGAAGGCGGUUCUCUGGGCCUUUCCUGACGCUGAGGAGCGAAAGCGUGGGGAGCGAACAGGCUUAGAUACCCUGGUAGUCCACGCUGUAAACGGUGGGUACUAGGUGUGGGGUCCAUUCCACGGGUUCCGUGCCGUAGCUAACGCUUUAAGUACCCCGCCUGGGGAGUACGGCCGCAAGGCUAAUACUCAAAGGAAUUGACGGGGCCCCGCACAAGCGGCGGAGCAUGCGGAUUAAUUCGAUGCAACGCGUAGAACCUUACCUGGGUUUGACAUGGAUCGGGAGCGCUCAGAGAUGGGUGUGCCUCUUUUGGGGUCGGUUCACAGGUGGUGCAUGGCUGUCGUCAGCUCGUGUCGUGAGAUGUUGGGUUAAGUCCCGCAACGAGCGCAACCCUUGUUCACUGUUGCCAGCACGUUAUGGUGGGGACUCAGUGGAGACCGCCGGGGUCAACUCGGAGGAAGGUGGGGAUGACGUCAAGUCAUCAUGCCCCUUAUGUCCAGGGCUUCACGCAUGCUACAAUGGCUGGUACAGAGAGUGGCGAGCCUGUGAGGGUGAGCGAAUCUCGGAAAGCCGGUCUCAGUUCGGAUUGGGGUCUGCAACUCGACCUCAUGAAGUCGGAGUCGCUAGUAAUCGCAGAUCAGCAACGCUGCGGUGAAUACGUUCCCGGGGCU
rnacentral:rRNA from 1 species